UUAAUUUAAUUAAGUGCUUUACUUAGACGACAUGGUUAAACAAGAGUUUAAUAAUGGCUAUCGACGAGCGCGGACCAGAGGUAUAAACCCUCCGGCGGCCCCUAUAUUUCAAAGGGCGGACUCGCCGAAGCAACAAGUAGUAAAUAGACAAAGGGUUGGAGGUCGGGCCUAGGAGACCCUAACUCGAUAAUGAUCCUUCCGCAGGUUCACCUACGGAAA
rnacentral:misc_RNA from 1 species